UACGUAGGUGACAAGCGUUAUCCGGAAUUACUGGGCGUAAAGCGCACGCAGGCGGCUGGGUAAGUCUGACGUGAAAUUUCCCGGCUUAACUGGGAGGGGUCGUUGGAAACUACUUGGCUUGAGGCGAGGAGAGGGGUGUGGAAUUCCCGGUGUAGUGGUGGAAUGCGUAGAUAUCGGGAGGAACAUCAGUGGCGAAAGCGGCACCCUGGCCUUAGCCUGACGCUCAGGUGCGAAAGCGUGGGGAGCGAACGGG
rnacentral:rRNA from 1 species